GCUCUAAUGGCCUAGUGGUUAGAGUGUCCACCUCAGAUGCGGGAGGUCGUGGGUUUGUACCCCAGCUGAGUCA